rnacentral:rRNA from 1 species
AGUAACACGUAGGUAACCUGCCCAUGUGCCCGGGAUAACUUCUGGAAACGGAUGCUAAAACCGGAUAGGUAGCAGACAAGCAUUUGACUGCUAUUAAAGUGGCUAAGGCCAUGAACAUGGAUGGACCUGCGGUGCAUUAGCUAGUUGGUGAGGUAACGGCCCACCAAGGCGACGAUGCAUAGCCGGCCUGAGAGGGCGGACGGCCACAUUGGGACUGAGACACGGCCCAAACUCCUACGGGAGGCAGAUG